rnacentral:rRNA from 1 species
UACGUAGGGAGCAAGCGUUGUCCGGAAUUACUGGGUGUAAAGGGAGCGUAGGCGGGGAUGCAAGUUGGGUGUCAAAACUACCGGCUCAACCGAUAGUCGCACUCAAAACUGCAGCUCUUGAGUGAAGUAGAGGCAGGCGGAAUUCCUAGUGUAGCGGUGAAAUGCGUAGAUAUUAGGAGGAACACCAGUGGCGAAGGCGGCCUGCUGGGCUUUUACUGACGCUGAGGCUCGAAAGUGUGGGGAGCAAACAGG